rnacentral:rRNA from 2 species
UGCCCUAGUAACGGCGAGUGAAGCGGCAACAGCUCAAAUUUGAAAUCUGGCUCUUUUAGAGUCCGAGUUGUAAUUUGCAGAGGGCGCUUUGGCUUUGGCAGCGGUCCAAGUUCCUUGGAACAGGACGUCACAGAGGGUGAGAAUCCCGUACGUGGUCGCUGGCUAUUGCCGUGUAAAGCCCCUUCGACGAGUCGAGUUGUUUGGGAAUGCAGCUCUAAAUGGGAGGUACAUUUCUUCUAAAGCUAAAUAUUGGCCAGAGACCGAUAGCGCACAAGUAGAGUGAUCGAAAGAUGAAAAGCACUUUGGAAAGAGAGUCAAACAGCACGUGAAAUUGUUGAAAGGGAAGCGCUUGCAGCCAGACUUGCUUGCAGUUGCUCAUCCGGGCUUUUGCCCGGUGCACUCUUCUGUAGGCAGGCCAGCAUCAGUUUGGGCGGUAGGAUAAAGGUCUCUGUCACGUACCUCCUUUCGGGGAGGCCUUAUAGGGGAGACGACAUACUACCAGCCUGGACUGAGGUCCGCGCAUCUGCUAGGAUGCUGGCGUAAUGGCUGUAAGCGGCCCGUCUUGAAACACGGACCAAGGAGUCUAACAUCUAUGCGAGUGUUUGGGUGUCAAGCCCGAGCGCGUAAUGAAAGUGAACGGAGGUGGGAACCCGCAAGGGUGCACCAUCGACCGAUCCUGAUGUCUUCGGAAGGAUUUGAGUAAGAGCAUGGCUGUUGGGACCCGAAAGAUGGUGAACUAUGCUUGAAUAGGGUGAAGCCAGAGGAAACUCUGGUGGAGGCUCGCAGCGGUUCUGACGUGCAAAUCGAUCGUCA